GACGAACGCUGGCGGCGUGCCUAAUACAUGCAAGUCGAACGAACGGAUUGAGGAGCUUGCUCUUCAAGAAGUUAGUGGCGGACGGGUGAGUAACACGUGGGUAACCUGCCCUUCAGCGGGGGAUAACAUCCGGAAACGGGUGCUAAUACCGCAUAGUUUCUUUUUCCGCCUGGAAGAAGAAGGAAAGAUGGCCUUUGUGCUAUCACUGAGGGAUGGACCCGCGGCGUAUUAGUUAGUUGGUGGGGUAAUGGCCUACCAAGACGAUGAUACGUAGCCGACCUGAGAGGGUGAUCGGCCACAUUGGGACUGAGACACGGCCCAAACUCCUACGGGAGGCAGCAGUAGGGAAUCUUCCGCAAUGGACGAAAGUCUGACGGAGCAACGCCGCGUGAGUGAAGAAGGUUUUCGGAUCGUAAAACUCUGUUGUCGGAGAAGAACAAGUAGGAGAGUAAC
rnacentral:rRNA from 1 species